GACGUAGGGUGCAAGCGUUGUCCGGAUUUACUGGGCGUAAAGAGCGCGUAGGCGGUCUGUUAAGUGAGAAGUGAAAGCUCUGGGCUCAACCCAAAAAUUGCUUUUCAUACUGGCAGACUGGAGUGAUGCAGAGGUUUGUGGAAUUCCUGGUGUAGCGGUGAAAUGCGUUGAUAUCAGGAGGAACACCGAUGGCGAAGGCAGCAACUGGGCAUUAACUGACGCUGAGGCGCGAAAGCGUGGGUAGCAAACAGG
rnacentral:rRNA from 1 species